rnacentral:rRNA from 1 species
GACGACGCUGGCGGCGUGGGAUUAGGCAUGCAAGUCGAACGGUAUCAUCCUUUCGGGGGUGAGAGAGUGGCGAACUGGUGAGUAACACGUAGGUUAUCUACCCUCAAGACGGGGACAACCCAGGGAAACUUGGGCUAAUACCGGAUGUGAGCAACUUUUAGUUGUUUGAAAGGUGGCGUAAGCUGUCGCUUGGGGAUGAGCCUGCGUCCUAUUAGUUAGUUGGUGAGGUAACGGCUCACCUAGGCAAUGAUAGGUAGGCGGCCUUAACGGGUGGUCGCCCACGACUGGGAUUGAGAUACGGCCCAGACUCCUACGGGAGGCAGCAGUCGAGAAUAGUCUACAAUGGUCGGAAGACUGAUAGUGCGACGCCGCGUGAACGAUGAAUCCCUUCGGGGUGUAAAGUUCUUUUAUAUGUGAGCAGUGCUUCUUAUAUUAACAGUAUGGGGAGAGAGAUAUUAGCAUAUGAAUAAGCAACGGCUAACUCCGUG